rnacentral:lncRNA from 1 species
ACAUCAAUACUCCAAAGUCCAGUCAGAAACUUUUUCUAAGAAAUGUGAAUGAUGUAUCGAGAAAAAAAUCAGAACAAAUAUAAAUGUAUGAGUCGGCUCUUCCUUAGCACUCUUGAAUAAUUUCUUCCUCGUCAAGAAGCUCUUCCAAUGUGAUUUUUUGGUUCAAGUCAGAAAAAAAUAAUUUCUCUUUAGCUCAAAUCUUCGACAAAAUCCACCUAGUUUUACCUUUGAGUGGUUCCUUCGACCUUUCUCUUUUUCCAGAAAGUCCUUGAUUUUGUAGUGAAGUCUUCUCUCAUGAAAUCCAUCUCAGCUGUUCCCAAGAAUUUAAGAAACUGUUACCCUACACACAUACUAUGAGAC